rnacentral:rRNA from 1 species
UACGGAAGGCAGCAGUGGGGAAUAUUGCACAAUGGGCGCAAGCCUGAUGCAGCCAUGCCGCGUGUAUGAAGAAGGCCUUCGGGUUGUAAAGUACUUUCAGUCGUGAGGAAGGUGUUAAGGUUAAUAACCUUAGCAAUUGACGUUAGCGACAGAAGAAGCACCGGCUAACUCCGUGCCAGCAGCCGCGGUAAUACGGAGGGUGCGAGCGUUAAUCGGAAUUACUGGGCGUAAAGGGCACGCAGGCGGUUAAUUAAGUUGGAUGUGAAAUCCCCGGGCUUAACCUGGGAAUGGCAUUCAAGACUGGUUAGCUAGAGUCUUGUAGAGGGGGUAGAAUUCCAUGUGUAGCGGUGAAAUGCGUAGAGAUGUGGAGGAAUACCGGUGGCGAAGGCGGCCCCUGGACAAAGACUGAACGCUCAUGUGCGAAAGCGUGGGGAGCAAAC